AGUAUAAAGAUACUGAGCGACGAGUGUGGAUAGUUGUUAGAGAAUAAUUAGUACUGAGCGUGACUAUAUGAGAGAUCACUUGGAUUUCUACUUGAUCAUCAGUGAUUGUCUCGAUGCUAUAGUUGUGUGAACGAUCUUUUAUCCUGCAAUGAUACGACUGCUCGCAAUGAGACUGCUAAAGUUGGACUGAUAUAUAAAUAUGAUCUCAAUGAGCCUUUGUAGUGGAUAUUGGCGAUAGUUGGUCUACUGUAGGAGUAGGAUGCGCAUCAAGAUGAAAUCUAUCAAGCUUGAAAGAAAGUAGUCCUAUGGGAUUUGAGAGGCUAAGUUUGAGAGUCUGUGGCCAUAGCAGUGUGAUUGAUGAAAAAGAAUUUUCAUAAAGAUCAUAAUUGGACUUGAGUUGAUCGAAUUUAUUAUAUGACUGAUGAUGAGAUUUGAUGAUUUAUCCUUGAUCUGCCAUCU
rnacentral:lncRNA from 1 species